AGUAAGUAAAGAGGAAAGAAAAAAUGUCUCCCCGUGGUUCAAAAGCCAACUAAAGUUUACCAAGAGCUGUGACCUGUGGUUAAAAUGUCCUCAGAGGCCAGCUCUCAUCUGAUUCCAACCUGAAGCCCCAUUUCCUAUCAAGAGAGCCAUUUGGCUCCUCUGUUAAGCUCAGCAGCCCUGAGGUGUGGUAGCCUCACGCUGACCCAUACAGAACUCAACAGAACUGUCCCUGCUGCAGAAGUCUCAGGGUUCUGCCCCAACUGCAUAGACUUCUUUCAUGGAACCGGCUCCUCUAUCCCCACAAGGCUUCUCCCCAACACAGCUUCUACCUAGAAUCAGACGGAGAGCUUUAGACCAGAGAGAAACUGAGGCGUGGUGAUACUAAGUGACAUGCUCCAAGCCACUGAACAUGUUAGUGGCAGAGCUAGAACUCAACACCAAGUCUCCUGGCUUUAGUCCACUGUGAUUCUCAAUCCUCCCACAUGCAGAGCACAGACUAUUUUUGAUGGUGCUGCAGGGAGCAAGGCCCCACCAGUGUGUGCUCUUCCUGUGUGUCCAAAUUUCCACCAAAGAGGGCUCCUCCCAGGAGACUGGCUCCCGAAACUGUUCUUCCAAGGCAGAAGUGGCGCAGCUAGCCCAACACGACUCUGUUUAUUGUUACGCUUCUGCCACAUGUGUGUAAAUUUGUAUGGAACUUGCUG
rnacentral:lncRNA from 1 species